rnacentral:sRNA from 1 species
UGGGCUGGUAGUAAUACCUGGGUCCAACUAAAGGCGGGGAAAGUCCU